rfam:Scleropages formosus scaffold1552, whole genome shotgun sequence.
GUGGGCUAUGGGGACAUGUACCCGGAAACGGUGUGGGGCAAACUGGUGGGCUCCAUGUGCGCCAUUGCCGGAGUGCUGACCAUCUCACUUCCGGUGCCUGUCAUCGUCUCCAAC